rnacentral:rRNA from 1 species
GACGAACGCUGGCGGCGUGCUUAACACAUGCAAGUCGAACGGUGAACGAGGGAGCUUGCUCCCUCCGGAUCAGUGGCGAACGGGUGAGUAACACGUGAGCAAUCUGCCCCGAACUCUGGGAUAAGCGUUGGAAACGACGUCUAAUACCGGAUACGACGCGGGAGGACAUCCUCUCCGCGUGGAAAGAACUUCGGUUCGGGAUGAGCUCGCGGCCUAUCAGCUUGUUGGUGAGGUAACGGCUCACCAAGGCGACGACGGGUAGCCGGCCUGAGAGGGUGACCGGCCACACUGGGACUGAGACACGGCCCAGACUCCUACGGGAGGCAGCAGUGGGGAAUAUUGCACAAUGGGCGCAAGCCUGAUGCAGCAACGCCGCGUGAGGGACGACGGCCUUCGGGUUGUAAACCUCUUUUAGCAGGGAAGAAGCGAAAGUGACGGUACCUGCAGAAAAAGCACCGGCUAACUACGUG